GUUGAACGCUGGCGGCGGGCCUAACACAUGCAAGUCGAGCGGACAGAGGAAGAUCGCUCCUGGAUUACGCGGCGGGCGGGUGAGUGAUGAAUAGGAGUAUACCCGGUCGAGGGGGAUGACGUAAGUAAACGAGAGCUAAUAUAGCAUCCGACAAGAGAUUGAACGGGGUGGAUCAUUAGAGAACGAGGUAUCAGAUGAGACUAGGUCGGAUUAGCUAGUUGGUGGGGUAAAGGCUUACCAAGGCGACGAUCCGUAACCGGCCUGAGAGGAUGAUCAGCCACACUGGAACUGAGACACGGUCCAGACUCCUACGGGAGGCAGCAGUAGGGAAUCUUGCGCAAUGGGCGAAAGCCUGACCCAGCCACGCCGCGUGUGUGAAGAAGGUCUUCGGAUUGUAAAGCUCUGUUAGUUGGGAAGAAGAGCAGUGUGUGUAUACCUGCCCGUCUUGACGGUACCAACAGAGAAAGCACCGGCUAACUACGUG
rnacentral:rRNA from 1 species